AUGGAUAGCCAAUUCUUAUUAAGAUAUUGUUUGUAUUCUUUACCCGAAAAAUGGGUUGACUAUUUUGAAAGAUCGGAACAUGGGAAUAGAUAUGGUACCAAAACGGACUACCUAUUUCAAUUUUUGUGCUUUCUUAAAUUGCAUACCUAUACAAGGGUUCAAGUUUCGAUCGAUAUUUACGGAGUUGAUUAUCCCUCUCGAAAAUGA